GCGCGUCUGCGAUGCAGGUGCUGGUCCACCUAUUUUGAUCCAACAUUAUCAAAAUAGGGAGUCCGACUCGAUCACAAUGCGCUGGUGUGCAAGCUCCUGGCUAGGCGCCUCAUGGUCUUGCAAGGGAGAAGCCUAAAGGCGCUCGGUGGACGCCCACCCCGUUUACAAACGUGGGUCAAUCACGGGGGUCGGCACGGCCGAGUGGUGCGCU
rnacentral:other from 1 species